UGUACAUUUGAACAUUAAGAUAAUCAUUUAAAGUAAAAUAACAUUUAUUAUACAAAAAUGGAAACUAUUUUUAUAAACAUUAACUGUAAUUUACUUCUCUUAUAUGUUUUGUCAGUUUUAUACGACAUUUAUAUAGCACCUAAUACAGUUGCCUAAUUUAAAGAAGAGGGUUUUUAUUUUUGCAAAAAUGACUGUAACGUUACCAAUUAUACUUACAUAUAUACUCUGUUAACGUGACUAAUGUCUUUCUAUUAGUCUGUGGUUAUAAUGUGAAUGAUUUACGCCCUCGCAAUUAGAUCUACCAAUCAGCAUCAUCAUUGCAUUGAAUUGUCAUUGCUCUGACGUACGUCCGAAUGGCGCCUGCAUAAAUAAGCGUGCAGCGCGACUCCCCACCUUUUUUAACCAUUAUCUUUGCCCUGGCACUACAUAUUGUCACACACGUCGUUGUUUCCGCUAGGGUUCUUCUUCUUCUUCUUCUACGGCGUGCUUUCUUCUACGGCGUGUUUUAACGGUGCACUUCUACAGUGUGCUUGCACAGUGCACUAUCACGGUGCCGUAGCAGACGGAAGGGAGAGCUGCCUCCCGACCACGUCCAGCUGCGCACCACCAUCAUCGGGUGUGCUGACCCCGGCCGACUGCCGGCGAGCUGCUGUCGGAGCCGACCACGUGCACACCACCAACGUCACGGGAGCUGACCCCAACCACGUGCACACCCUGCUCAUCCACGUGGCCUUCCAACUGCCCGGCGAGCUGCCGCCGGAGCCAGCCACGUGUAGCAUCUACGUGCCGUUCGCCUGAAUCGGAGUUCCCCAGGCCAGUGACUCUUGUUGCAUAACACCAGCAACCAGUACCGAGUGUAACGCGGAGGUGUAAAAAAUAUAGCUCGUACCACGUAAU